AUUGAACGCUGGCGGCAGGCCUAACACAUGCAAGUCGAGCGGAUGAAGGGAGCUUGCUCCUGGAUUCAGCGGCGGACGGGUGAGUAAUGCCUAGGAAUCUGCCUGGUAGUGGGGGAUAACGUCCGGAAAUGGGCGCUAAUACCGCAUACGUCCUGAGGGAGAAAGUGGGGGAUCUUCGGACCUCACGCUAUCAGAUGAGCCUAGGUCGGAUUAGCUAGUUGUUGGGGUAAAGGCCUACCAAGGCGACGAUCCGUAACUGGUCUGAGAGGAUGAUCAGUCACACUGGAACUGAGACACGGUCCAGACUCCUACGGGAGGCAGCAGUGGGGAAUAUUGGACAAUGGGCGAAAGCCUGAUCCAGCCAUGCCGCGUGUGUGAAGAAGGUCUUCGGAUUGUAAAGCACUUUAAGUUGGGAGGAAGGGCAGUAAGUUAAUACCUUGCUGUUUUGACGUUACCAACAGAAUAAGCACCGGCUAACUUCGUG
rnacentral:rRNA from 1 species